rnacentral:misc_RNA from 1 species
AACCGUACUUUAUAAAAUUGUGUGAUCCUUGCUUAGCGUUGUCUCGAUUCAACAAAUAUUAUAGUGUCAGUGUUUAUCGCCCCCAAACUGGGGUUCGACGUUUGGGUCACCAAUUUCGACGUUUGGGUCACCAAUUACGACGUUUGGGUCACCAAUUUCGACGUUUCCACCUAACCCCAACGACGAGAGUGCACUCCGCCGGGUCUUGAACUACCCGUUCCUGCCGCCCCCGGUCGAUAGCGGAAUCCUGCCACGCGACUCCCGGGAAUAUCACCUGCACGGCGAACCAGGAGAGUACCUGAGCCGAACUGCAUUUGGAGCUUGUGUGAAUUGAGUGCUCGACCCCACCCAUAUAC